CACGUAGGGUGCGAGCGUUGUCCGGAAUUAUUGGGCGUAAAGAGCUCGUAGGCGGUGUGUCGCGUCGGCCGUGAAAACCUGCAGCUCAACUGUGGGCUUGCGGUCGAUACGGGCAUCACUGGAGUUCGGCAGGGGAGACUGGAAUUCCUGGUGUAGCGGUGAAAUGCGCAGAUAUCAGGAGGAACACCGGUGGCGAAGGCGGUUCUCUGGGCCUGUACUGACGCUGAGGAACGAAAGCGUGGGGAGCGAACAGG
rnacentral:rRNA from 1 species